rfam:Stenotrophomonas daejeonensis strain JCM 16244 contig_30, whole genome shotgun sequence.
CCACCAUCGAGACCGGCAGAGGGACAGGCCCUUUGAAGCCGGGGCAACCAGCAGACGCGAAAGCGCCUGUGCUUGGUGCCAAAUCCUGCGGUGACCUCUGUGUCCGCCGAAAGAUGGUUC